GACGAAGGAUGCAAGCGUUAUCCGGAUUCAUUGGGUUUAAAGGGUGCGUAGGCGGACUGAUAAGUCAGUGGUGAAAUCUCUUUGCUUAACAAAGAAACUGCCAUUGAUACUGUCGGUCUAGAGUAUAGAUGACGUUGGCGGAAUAUGACAUGUAGUGGUGAAAUACUUAGAUAUGUCAUAGAACACCGAUUGCGAAGGCAGCUAACGAAAACUAUAACUGACGCUGAGGCACGAAAGUGCGGGGAUCAAACAGG
rnacentral:rRNA from 1 species